UACAGAGGGGGCGAGCGUUGUUCGGAAUUACUGGGCGUAAAGGGCGCGUAGGCGGCCUCCUAAGUCGAACGUGAAAUCCCCGGGCUCAACCCGGGAACUGCGUCCGAUACUGGGAAGCUUGAAUCCAGGAGAGGUGAGUGGAAUUCCGAGUGUAGAGGUGAAAUUCGUAGAUAUUCGGAAGAACACCAGUGGCGAAGGCGGCUCACUGGACUGGUAUUGACGCUGAGGUGCGAAAGCGUGGGGAGCAAACAGG
rnacentral:rRNA from 1 species